UACGAACUGUGCGAACGUUAUUCGGAAUCACUGGGCUUACAGGGUGCGUAGGCGGCUUCGCAAGUCAGGUGUGAAAGCCCCCGGCUCAACCGGGGAAUGGCGCUUGAAACUGCGAGGCUCGAGUCAGCUAGAGGUGCACGGAACUUCCAGUGGAGCGGUGAAAUGUGUUGAUAUUGGAAGGAACACCGGAGGCGAAAGCGGUGCACUGGGGCUGGUCUGACGCUGAGGCACGAAAGCCAGGGUAGCGAACGGG
rnacentral:rRNA from 1 species